rnacentral:rRNA from 1 species
GACAGAGGGUGCAAACGUUGCUCGGAAUUACUGGGCGUAAAGCGCGUGUAGGCUGACCGGAAAGUCGGGCGUGAAAUCCCUGGGCUCAACCCAGGAACUGCACUCGAAACUCCCGGUCUUGAGUGGUGGAGAGGGAAGUGGAAUUCCUGGUGUAGAGGUGAAAUUCGUAGAUAUCAGGAGGAACACCAGUGGCGAAGGCGGCUCACUGGCCCGGUACUGACGCUGAGGUGCGAAAGCGUGGGGAGCAAACAGG